AUUGAACGCUGGCGGCAGGCCUAACACAUGCAAGUCGAGCGGGGUUUUCGGACCUAGCGGCGGACGGGUGAGUAAUGCGUAGGAAGCUACCCGAUAGAGGGGGAUACCAGUUGGAAACGACUGUUAAUACCGCAUAAUGUCUACGGACCAAAGUGUGGGACCUUCGGGCCACAUGCUAUCGGAUGCGCCUACGUGGGAUUAGCUAGUUGGUGAGGUAAUGGCUCACCAAGGCGACGAUCCCUAGCUGGUUUGAGAGGAUGAUCAGCCACACUGGAACUGAGACACGGUCCAGACGCCUACGGGAGGCAGCAGUGGGGAAUAUUGGACAAUGGGCGCAAGCCUGAUCCAGCCAUGCCGCGUGUGUGAAGAAGGCCUUCGGGUUGUAAAGCACUUUCAGCGAGGAGGAAGGGGUGAGUGUUAAUAGUACUCAUCUUUGACGUUACUCGCAGAAGAUGCACCGGCUAACUCUGUGCCAGCAGCCGCCGUAAAAC
rnacentral:rRNA from 1 species